AAGAUACAAGGACUAUUCAAAAUGCAAACAUCUAUAACCCCUAGUUUAUAUUGGCAAUUAUGGACAGCAAUUAUUAAUUAAGAGCUAAUUAACUGAACUACUUUUAUGUGUUUCAACCUAUUUUCUUUUAUUACAUAAUUUUUAGUUUACUAAAUAUGUACUUAGCAUGUAUAUGUAAACCUAAUAAUGUUUCUGGAAUACUAGCAGAUCCAUUCUGACAUCAACAUCCAGAUUGUUGCCUUUUAUUGCUAGGAAAACCACACAAGUGUGAUGCAAUGGCACAGGUCGUAUCCUGACGGUGGUGGUAAUUCCUAGUCUUCCCAGAGAGGCUGCAACCAAGUGGCAUGUCACUGCAGCGGCAGAUGAACCAUUUAAAAGGAAGCAUUUUGCUUUGAAGAAGAAAGCUAAGGGUUUUCAAAUGGAUUGUGAAGCUGUGGCAUCCAGUUCUGCUUCCAGUGCAUCAGUCCGUAUCUCUUUACAAUGAAUGUCACCUUCUACCUCCUUACCUGAUGUACAUAGCAUUCUAGAGGACCUGAUAACUGUACUUGUACAAGAAAGGGGAAGAACGUAAAAUUCACCAAGCUCCACCAUUGUGUUUUAGAAUAUUCUAUUUAAAGAUACAACAUUGUAAUGCUGAACUUCUGCAAGCAGGUAAGAAGACCAUUCGAAAGGCGAAGGGAAGGUACAGAUUGUGGAGCAACAUCAUAUAUGCUCAUCAGACAGACAGAAUAACAUAAGCAGCAUGGGAGACUUUUGCCCCUUAUCCAGUCAGAGUGUAGGAUGAGAGAUAGGAAUCCACUGUUUCCACUGUUGUUCUCAGCUCUUUUAUAUCUUCUGUGUGAACCUCUUACUACUCUAUGAGUGAUUGCAGAGUUUAAAGCAAUGCGUUUUUCCUACUCGAUAGCCCUCUUUGUUAUAUUCCAAACCAUGUUUAAUGUAUAAUGAUACACACAUUAUACAUUCAUACAUGCAUAUUAGUGAAUAGGUUUGUGUACACAGUACCAUGAAUACUAUUCUUUAGAGAUGACUUACAGAAUUUAAACCAACCCCAAUAUAAAUCUGACUUCAUGCUCCACACAUGUAAGUAAAAGCCAAAAUGUCAUCCCCCACACCAGCUCUGACUCAGAGGGAAGCUCCAUCAUUUAUGUUCCAAGAGCAUUUUGCAGAAAGAGCUUUGAUUCAUAGUGCUAAGAGAAAGAAACACCCCAAUGUGCACUUGGCAUAUUUCACUGUAUAGCUAGCUACCAAAGCAAGGGUUCUGAACCAAGAGACACAUUUCAUUCUCAUCAUGGAAGUCAAGCUCAAGAAUCAGAACAUUUUGCUGACCAACUGGUUAAUUUCCAAUUUAAGCAGCAAUGGGAAGUUCCCACUCUUUCCAAGCCAAUGAAAGUUUUGGUUUUUGUUGGACCAGCUUCAUGUAAAUGACACUGACUGACAGUUGAUUCAGAACAAUCAAGCCCAAUUUGAUGUACUAUUCCUUUAUCAAAUUAGCCUAAAUUGCAUGCAAAGCCCCUCAGUGGGUUUUUAAAUGCAGUUGUAUGUCAGACCUUGCUAUAGGUGCAUUUGAAUUUAAUAUUUGCAAAUUAAAUUGUACGUUGAACAUUUUAUGGAAGUUCACUUUUAAAAUGCAUUUCCUGCAUCAGAUAUUUCUAAAGUAAAGUGAAUAACUACCUGCUCAUUUAUCUUUUUGUUUGAAUACGGAUUUUAAUAUACUUAAUUUGUUUAAAGCAAAAACCUUUCUAGAGCUAACAUUUUAUCUUUAGAACUUUUGGGGAUUGAUUGUUUCUUUGCAGGCUAAACAACAUAAUAACAGUUAUGAUCCACCAACAUUGUGGUAUUAUUAUCUUUACAUUACAGGGAAGAGAGCAAGGCACAGAUGCUUCUGGUUAUGAUUCCAAGAUCAGUUACCUGCCUCCUUCAUGGAUAGUAAGGUGUUUUCUGAUCCAGUGAGAAGUUCUUGAAAAAUGAGAAGAAAGAGAGGUUUAAUUGUAACAUGGAUACAUUUUGGACUGGAUGCCAGCCACUUGAAUAAGGCUUGGCACUUGGCACAGUACCUGGCAGAUAGUACUUAAUGAAUGUCGGAUGGAUGGCAAAAAGAGACAACAGGGGAAACAGAAAGAAUGAAGGAAAGAAGGAAAUAGUUGGAAAAACAGUUUAGUUGAUCUGAUCUGCAUAGUUCCAGACAUUGCUGGAAGCCCAGAUGGACAAGAUGGUGCCUGCACUGCUUCUCGUAUCUGUGACCCAUUUACCUAGAGAAGAAAUUAUCCGUGCAGCAUGCUGGUUAACACUUCGAUCAACAAACAAGAACUCUACCACCCUGCUUGAGGAGUGAGAUCUUCACUCUAACUGUUCUCAGCACAGCCUCCUGGUGCAAAGCUGGACUAAGUAUUUUAAUAUUACACUUUGCACCUCUUUUCUUCAACAGUAAGACCCAAAAUAAACCUUUCUGCCUAGGUAUGAACAUCUGUUUUGCUUCAAAGGUUCAAAAGUAUUCUCUUCAACACAAACUCCCUGACCUCCAUGCUUAGAGCCACGUAAAAGUCAAUUUCUUCUGAGCCACUUAUUGAAACUUGUAAAUGAACUGAUUUUUCUGCAAUUGUGACUUAUCAAUUGCAUCAGCAUUAUCAUUUCUUGCCCACUGGCAGAGGAGUUAUAGUUGUAGAUGGGAGUCAUAUCAGGCAUUCUGUAUG